rnacentral:ncRNA from 1 species
CCGAAAGUCUGCUUACUCUGACCCAGUAGCAUGGGGCCGUGGAAUCCGUGUGAAUCAGCAAGGACCACCUUGCAUGGCUAAAUACUCCUGGGUGACCGAUAGCGAAGUAGUACCGUGAGGGAAAGGUGAAAAGAACCCCCAGUGGGUAGUGAAAUAGAACGUGAAACCGUGCUGAGCUCCCAAGCAGUGGGAGGGGAAAGUGAUCUCUGACC